rfam:Oryza glaberrima chromosome 6 Oglab06_0189_2, whole genome shotgun sequence.
AAAAAGGCAAACCCUGAGUUUCCGUGUCCAACUUUGACUAUCCGUCUUAUAUGAAAUUUUUUUAUAAUUCGUAUUUUCAUUGUUGUUAGAUGAUAAAACAUGAUUAAUAUUUUAUGCGUGACUUGUCUUUUUAAUUUUUUUUCAUAAUUUUUUCAAAUAAGACGAACGGUCAAAUGUUGGACACAGAAAUUAGGGUUUGUCUUUUU